rnacentral:rRNA from 1 species
UACAUCGGUGACAGGUGGUGCAUGGUUGUCGUCAGCUCGUGUCGUGAGAUGUUGGGUUAAGUCCCGCAACGAGCGCAACCCCUAUUGUUAGUUGCCAUCAUUCAGUUGGGCACUCUAGCGAGACUGCCGGUAAUAAACCGGAGGAAGGUGGGGAUGACGUCAAAUCAUCAUGCCCCUUAUGACCUGGGUUACACACGUGCUACAAUGGUUGGUACAACGAGUUGCGAGUCGGUGACGGCGAGCUAAUCUCUUAAAGCCAAUCUCAGUUCGGAUUGUAGGCUGCAACUCGCCUACAUGAAGUCGGAAUCGCUAGUAAUCGCGGAUCAGCACGCCGCGGUGAAUACGUUCCCGGGCCUU